rnacentral:lncRNA from 1 species
GAAUGCUCCUAAGUUUUAAAUGUUGGUUGAAAGGUGAUUUAAAACCCUUUGGCAGUCUAAAUACAACAAAAACUCAUGGGUGCACCUGACUAUAUACAGGUCCUCAUGCACAGCUUCUGCAUUAGCCUCUGCUUUGGCCUCACAGUCUGGAGGAGGAAUAGAGGAUCGAGAACUUCAGAGGAGUGCUUCAGAUCAAGUCACCAUCUUUGCAGAGAUUGAGUACUCAUCUCUUGUCUAUAACAAGAGAACCAUUGGUUAGGUGCUCAGCAAGAGGGAUGCAGAGAAGGUUCUUGAAGGCUCAGGUUGUGACUGCUGGAAUAGAUUUAACUUUGGACUUUGUUUCUUUUAAAAGGAUGGUAUCACUGGGAGGGUUCAUCACCAUUCUUUCCACAAAUGAAGCUGGAUUCCUGUAUGUCAUCUCAUCCUUGCAGCUCUCCUGGGAACUGGAAGGCACUGGUAUGUGGCUCCUUUGCUCAGAAUAGGACUGGGGCAGGGA